AAGUCGUAACAAGGUUUCCGUAGGUGAACCUGCGGAAGGAUCACUAAAGUAAACGCCCUCCGGGGCUCUCUUUAUUCACACACCCCUGUGCACUUUGGCCACCUGCCGCGCUUCACUGCGUUAGUAGGUGUGUCUUUAUAAUUAUACCCACAUACACAAGUCAUUGAAUGUAAAAUCGUUAUAAACUAAUAUAACUUUCAACAACGGAUCUCUUGGUUCUC
rnacentral:misc_RNA from 1 species